rnacentral:rRNA from 1 species
UACGAAGGGGCUAGCGUUGCUCGGAAUCACUGGGCGUAAAGCGCACGUAGGCGGAUUGUUAAGUCAGGGUGAAGUCCUGGAGCUCAACUCCAGAACUGCCUUUGAUACUGGCGAUCUCGAGUCCGGGAGAGGUGAGUGGAACUGCGAGUGUAGAGGUGAAAUUCGUAGAUAUUCGCAAGAACACCAGUGGCGAAGGCGGCUCACUGGCCCGGUACUGACGCUGAGGUGCGAAAGCGUGGGAGCAACAGGGA